CCAUCACUUGGGGAUAACCUUGCGAAAGUAAGACUAAUACCCAAUGACGUCUCUAGAAGACAUCUGAAAGAGAUUAAAGAUUUAUCGGUGAUGGAUGGGGAUGCGUCUGAUUAGCUUGUUGGCGGGUAACGGCCCACCAAGGCGACGAUCAGUAGGGGUUCUGAGAGGAAGGUCCCCCACAUUGGAACUGAGACACGGUCCAAACUCCUACGGGAGGCAGCAGUGAGGAAUAUUGGUCAAUGGACGAGAGUCUGAACCAGCCAAGUAGCGUGCAGGAUGACGGCCCUAUGGGUUGUAAACUGCUUUUAUAAGGGAAUAAAGUGGGAGUCGUGACUCUUUUUGCAUGUACCUUAUGAAUAAGGACCGGCUAAUUCCGUG
rnacentral:rRNA from 1 species